rnacentral:other from 1 species
GGCGUCUCUGCGGUGUGCGCCAGCACACUCUUACAUUUGCCUUGUUCCUAAAUACGGCCCCGGGUCGGCGCUUCAUCGGUUGUUGUGCAUGUCCGCCACGUGCGGAAAGCCUCGAGACCCUGAACGCCCUCCCACCUGAUCCAUCGUGGAUCAAGGUCGUUUGGUGGGCAGCGGCAUCGCGGUCGACGCCA